UACGUAGGGUGCAAGCGUUAAUCGGAAUUACUGGGCGUAAAGCGUGCGCAGGCGGUUUUGUAAGACUGUCGUGAAAUCCCCGGGCUCAACCUGGGAAUGGCGAUGGUGACUGCAAGGCUAGAGUUUGGCAGAGGGGGGUAGAAUUCCACGUGUAGCAGUGAAAUGCGUAGAUAUGUGGAGGAACACCAGUGGCGAAGGCGGCGAUCUGGGAACAUACUGACGCUGAGGUGCGAAAGCGUGGGGAGCAAACAGG
rnacentral:rRNA from 1 species